rnacentral:lncRNA from 1 species
GCAGCUCAGGCGCGGCGCCGACCAGGCCAGCUGGCCGCGGGCAGCAGCCGCGGGAGACUCCGGAAGCCCGGCCGGAGCAGGAUGGAGCGCCGACGGGACCCAGGCUGAAAGGGAAGCUCUGCAGGUUGUCCUGAUGUGCGGACGCGAUGGAGGCGACUCUGAGCAGCUCCAGAGAGCAAGCCUUGGCCUCUGACUGUCAAACCUCCGCGGAAAUGGUCUCUAAAGGAAGAAGUCUCCCGACUCUUUACAAAAAUGUAAAACCACCUAGGAAAGGAAGCAUCCACGUGGAUGGGGAGAAACAAUUGAAAAUAAUAGAUUUUUUAGCAAUAGAAUUCAAAGGACUAAAGAAUCUGUGUGAUGCUACAGAUGAAAGCUCUACCCAGCUACACAGCAUUCAAGGGCACUUCUACUUUUGGACCUCAGAGCAAAUGAGAAGGCGAAAGUUCGGACUUGAAGACCCGUCUGUACAGUUAGGCGAGCAAGAGCUGGUUCAAGGACAAGGUUCCCUCUGAGGUCAGAGAGAAUUACAUUCCGUGGAAUUGAAAUGAGGUGUCUGGAGGAAGAUGAGGAUGUGAAGAGCCAAAGGAUAUCCACUUAUUGUGGAAACAGCCACAGAAGUGUUAAAAGCCCUAAAUCCAUCUAUUACAGAUUUCCAUAGUGUUUUUAUUACCAGAGUAGUUUCCAGUGACUUGGAACUUCGGGAGGUUUAGCCA